UAGGGAAUCUUCGGCAAUGGACGAAAGUCUGACCGAGCAACGCCGCGUGAGUGAAGAAGGUUUUCGGAUCGUAAAACUCUGUUGUUAGAGAAGAACAAGGACGUUAGUAACUGAACGUCCCCUGACGGUAUCUAACCAGAAAGCCACGGCUAACUACGUGCCAGCAGCCGCGGUAAUACGUAGGUGGCAAGCGUUGUCCGGAUUUAUUGGGCGUAAAGCGAGCGCAGGCGGUUUCUUAAGUCUGAUGUGAAAGCCCCCGGCUCAACCGGGGAGGGUCAUUGGAAACUGGGAGACUUGAGUGCAGAAGAGGAGAGUGGAAUUCCAUGUGUAGCGGUGAAAUGCGUAGAUAUAGGGAGGAACACGAGUGGCGAAGGCGGCUCGCUGGUCUGUAACUGACGCUGAGGCUCGAAAGCGUGGGGAGCAAACAGG
rnacentral:rRNA from 1 species